GACAACGUGGCCACCAACGGGGGAGCGAGGACCCCCGCAUCGUUUGUCAAAUUCAGGACUGGCGCUGGAAGCUGUAGGUGGAGGGAAGACCAGGAAUGGUGCAGCUGCUGAAGGUGUGCCAAAGGGUCACGUGUGUUCCUGAAGGGACUGAGGCGACGCAGUCGGAGGUCCCUGUGGUGGCGGAGGUGUCAAGACCAACCAGCUCCUCGUCCAGGAAAGGGGAGUUCUUCAGACCG
ensembl:lncRNA